CCUACGGGAGGCUGCAGUGGGGAAUAUUGGACAAUGGGGGGAACCCUGAUCCAGCCAUGCCGCGUGUGUGAAGAAGGCCCUCGGGUUGUAAAGCACUUUCAGUGAGGAAGAACGCUUGGUGGUUAAUACCCAUCAGGAAAGACAUCACUCACAGAAGAAGCACCGGCUAACUCCGUGCCAGCAGCCGCGGUAAUACGGAGGGUGCGAGCGUUAAUCGGAAUUACUGGGCGUAAAGCGCGCGUAGGUGGCUUGAUAAGCCGGUUGUGAAAGCCCCGGGCUCAACCUGGGAACGGCAUCCGGAACUGUCAAGCUAGAGUGCAGGAGAGGAAGGUAGAAUUCCCGGUGUAGCGGUGAAAUGCGUAGAGAUCGGGAGGAAUACCAGUGGCGAAGGCGGCCUUCUGGACUGACACUGACACUGAGGUGCGAAAGCGUGGGUAGCAAACAGGAUUAGAUACCCUGGUAGUC
rnacentral:rRNA from 1 species